rnacentral:lncRNA from 1 species
GAUUUUUUUUAUAAAACCUUUAUACCAACUCGAAGGAAUUCACUUUAAAAUCGGUUUCCCUUUCACAUCCCACCGUAUCCGAGACUAAAAUAGACCGACAACCAUUCCUUCAACUCUACCUAGUUGGAGAGCUCGCCUCUUUGCUUGUAGGCUUGUAGUAUUAGGUAGUAGUGGUUGUAAAGUUAAACAUCUGCGAACGUGCACGGAAAUUGGCUUUAAUUAAAUAAAUUAUUUCCCGUAGUCGCAAAACGGAGUGCGCACGCAAUACGAUUUUCUAAUCAAUACGAACCGAGUCCCCAACGUAUGUAGUACUGCUGCAAGUGCCUUAGACGAACGGUCAAGUGCAGUUGGUACCGCUAUCUCUCAAGAUUCCUUUUACUUUAGAUAAAAAUGCCGGCUCCUAACGAAUCGGUCCCACAAAAACCGGCAGUAUGCAGAAGACUCUUUCAAAACGACGAAAACGAUGAAAAUGACGAAAUUCCCAUUGAAUAUCUUCCAACGAGGAGUGAAGAUGCUAAAGAAAAAUGGAAUUUUGAUUUUGAAAACGAUCGGCCUUUAGAGGGCGAUUGGGAAUGGACCCCAGUCAAUAAUUCCGAAGGAGCUAGAAAUCAAACGAACGGAAAUGGAAAAGAAAAUGAUGUGCAAUAAUUUUUUAUUUAUUUAUUUAUGGAUGUUUUUUUUUUCUUUUUAAAUUAACCUAGUCUAUGAGUGAUCAAAAAAUCCUAUACUAAUGAUAAUUUAUUUUUAUUAAAUCGUACUUAUAUACGAGUAUAUUUAUUUA